GCCUCGGUGGUGUAGCGGUGGAACACGUGUUCCCGUUAUGGAUAAACUCGGGUACAAUUCCCGCUUAAGGCC